rnacentral:rRNA from 1 species
AAUAUUGCACAAUGGAGAAAACUCUGAUGCAGCGACGCCGCUUGAACGAUGAAUGCUAUCGAGUCGUAAAGUUCUGGCCUAGGGGACGAUAAUGACCGUACCCAAGGAGGAAGCCCCUGCCAACUACGUGACAGCAGCCACGGUAAUACGCAGGGGGCUAGCGUUGUUCGGAUUUAUUGGGCGUAAAGGGUUCGCAGGCGGCCUUUUAAGUCAGAUGUGAAAGACUACAGCUCAACUGUGGUAAGCAUUUGAAACUGAAAGGCUUGAGUUAAGGAGAGGAAAGUGGAAUUCCUAGUGUAGCGGUGAAAUGCGUAGAUAUUAGGAGGAAUACCAGUGGCGAAGGCGACUUUCUGGACUUAUACUGACGCUGAGGAACGAAAGCGUGGGGAGCAAACAGG